UACAGUUACUUUUAAAGUCUUUAUACCACUCGUAUGCUUAACUUUUCGAGAAAUCAGACUCUCCAAAGGCUUUUUGCAAUAUUUUCAAUACAGCAGCAUACGAAAUCUCGAAAGCAACACAACAUUUUAAACAAACUCUUUGCUCAACAAAGUUUACUAAUGUAAAGAGACGACAGGUAGAAAUUAAAACCAUUGACAUGUAUGCCAGUCAUGGUGGUACCAACUUAAAAAAAAAUACGAAAAUAAUUAAUUCUGUCAUACGCGGUGAUAAUAAAUUCAUUGUUGUAGGAGAGCUACUAUUUUUUUCUAAUGUAACAUCGUAGCGUCCGGCAGGGCUCGGAAUAUUAAAAAUAUGUUUGGUUGUUGUUGAAAUGGGACAUUCAUCAAAGUCGAUUGUGUCCGUUUGGUGAUUGGCUCAGGUGUCAUCGAUACGAUGGAUGUUCACUGAUUUGGAAUUGAAAACUCCCUGCCACCUAUCAUAAUCCAAAAAUCUUUCACUCAUCGAUUACUAUUACUUUUUAUCCCGGAGAAAAUUCGAUUCCCCAGAAGUUGUGAAAACAGCCUUUCAAUAGUGACUCCCACGAGUACGGUUUUGUGAGUUACCAUUAAGAUGAGAAAUAGGCGUCGACAGUAUGGUUAAUUAUGAAAUAAAGAACUUAAAUAGAAUUUGAACGAA